AGGUCAGUUUACAGGCAGAUUGUGGAGGAGUUAACAGUUACAAUGCAGAACACCCCGUUUUCUUGUUUUUAAUGCUAAAACAGUUUGUGUGUGUUUAAGUUUGUGUCAAGAAAUAGAAAGUCUCCUGUUUAUCAGGAUCUUUUGGUGAAGAAACGCGACCCAGGGAAGAAAUUUACCUGCUCCGGGCGUGUUGCGACUUACCUAGCAGUGGACCGUUGGAGAAAAAAAUAAGCAAAUAUGUCUUCAAAUCAGCGACCAGUCGUGCCUCUAUAAGGACAACCUGUGAACGUGGUUUUCAGGCCUCGUUGGCGCAGUAGGCAGCGCGUCAGUCUCAUAAUCUGAAGGUCGUGAGUUCGAGCCUCACACGGGGCAUGUGUUUUGAUUUUCCGCAGUAUGUUUUGGGUCAGCUGUGAAGAGGCAUGAAAGGAGACAAUCUUCUGUAUGCUGGAUUAACUUCAUUUCCAAAUGCCAUCCACGUCCACAAAGCCUAUAAACUGGUGCCAGAGAAUCAGGCUUUCCUUAAGUCUCUACCACUGUGUCCUGAAGACGAGAGGCCCUCCUGGGCAGAUGCACAACUGGGUGGCUCAAGGAUAUGGAAACACACCCAACCCCCACCUCGACUCUGCCCUUUUCAAGUAGAGGCAGAGGGAUUUUCAGUGGCCACAAUGGACAGAACGCCCAAGUGAUGCCGGGAAAAUAAUGAAACCUUGCCUGAAAUAGAAAGGAAUCAAAUGACAUUGUGCAAGGGCAAAUUAUAGUAUUAACAAACAUUAUUAUGAAUGUUGGUUCCAGUUAGUAUAAAUAAGCAGCUGUUUGAUAACAAAUUAGCUCUAUUAAUUGAAAAGGUGAUAGUAUGUCAGUAUUGUGUUCACAAUUUAUCCACUCCGUAUGAACAGAAGUAAAAUAAUUUGACGUUUGUGGCAGCCUGGAUGGUUUAUGGUGACAUUUCUUCAUAUAAACAAAAUGUUUUCUUAUUGUUAGUGGCCAGUUGUUACACUGUAAUUGCUGUAAUAUCAUUACGUUGGUUAUUUACUUAAUUUGAUGCAGCAUUAAAUCACUUGAUCAACAGGAAAAUGUCCUGUGAUUAUAAA